UUGUAAUUAUCCUGGUGAGCAUAAUCCCGUUUCAGAGGAAAAAACUAAUGAGGCUGAUGAUGAUCGCUCACAAAGUCAUGUGGAUCGCUGUGUCUUUCAUGGCAACAGCAUUCAUCUCAGCGACAUGGGUGAUCAUGCCACAUGCUCACAGAACAGGAUGCAUGCUUGAAGUUAUCUUGGCCAUUGGUGCUGGGAGCAAGGCAACUGUGUUUAUCUAUCUGGGC
rnacentral:misc_RNA from 1 species